rnacentral:rRNA from 1 species
CGGAGGUGCAAGCGUUGUCCGGAUUUAUUGGGUUUAAAGGGUGCGUAGGUGGCGUCUUAAGUCUGGUUGAAGCAGGCGGCUCAACCGUCUGAUGUGGCUGGAACUGGGGUGCUUGAAUGGGUUGGCGGUAGCCGGAACGGGUCAUGUAGCGGUGAAAUGCAUAGAUAUGACCCAGAACACCGAUUGCGAAGGCAGGCUACUACGACUUGAUUGACACUGAGGCACGAGAGCAUGGGUAGCGAACAGGAUU